CCUACGGGAGGCAGCAGUGAGGAAUAUUGGUCAAUGGUCGGGAGACUGAACCAGCCAAGCCGCGUGAGGGAUGAAGGUCCAGAGUAUCGUAAACCUCUUUUGUCAGGGAACAAAGGCGGGGACGUGUCCCCGGCUGAGUGUACCUGAAGAAAAAGCAUCGGCUAACUCCGUGCCAGCAGCCGCGGUAAUACGGAGGAUGCGAGCGUUAUCCGGAUUUAUUGGGUUUAAGGGGUGCGCAGGCGGUCUGUUAAGUCAGCGGUCAAAGCCCGGGGCUCAACCCCGGCCCGCCGUUGAAACUGGCAGUCUCGAGUUGGAGAGAAGUAGGCGGAAUGCGCGGUGUAGCGGUGAAAUGCAUAGAUAUCGCGCAGAACUCCGAUUGCGAAGGCAGCAUGCCGGAUCCACACUGACGCUGAGGCACGAAAGCGUGGGUAUCGAACAGGAUUAGAUACCCCUGUAGUC
rnacentral:rRNA from 1 species